GGGCCUUAUUUUAGGGUGAAGCCCGGGCACCCGACCCGGCUGCGCCGUAGUGGAAGGCCACGGCGAUUAUUCAGAUGAAGGUCUUCCAGGACCCACUGGCUGAUGAUGGCUUCACUGGACCUGCCAACUACUCCUAGAGUCCCACCCAGAAGUGACUCAGCAAAGGAGGGUCCUGUCUCACCUUACGAUGGCCCCCCCAACCGGCUAGCAGCAAGCACCACAACCAGCCAGCAGCAAGCACCACUGCCCGGCUACCCUACCCUUUCCCCCAAACGACCUUUGGAAAACCCGUCCCUGAGUUCUUGGGGAGACUGAUUUCAGUAAUAAUCACUUGUCCGUGUGAAUUAAACCCUUUCUCUAUUGCA